rnacentral:rRNA from 1 species
AUUGAACGCUGGCGGCAUGCCUUACACAUGCAAGUCGAACGGCAGCACGGGAGCAAUCCUGGUGGCGAGUGGCGAACGGGUGAGUAAUAUAUCGGAACGUGCCCAGUCGUGGGGAUAACGUAGCGAAAGCUACGCUAAUACCGCAUACGAUCUAUGGAUGAAAGCGGGGGAUCGCAAGACCUCGCGCGAUUGGAGCGGCCGAUAUCAGAUUAGGUAGUUGGUGAGGUAAAGGCUCACCAAGCCGACGAUCUGUAGCUGGUCUGAGAGGACGACCAGCCACACUGGGACUGAGACACGGCCCAGACUCCUACGGGAGGCAGCAGUGGGGAAUAUUGGACAAUGGGCGAAAGCCUGAUCCAGCAAUGCCGCGUGAGUGAUGAAGGCCUUAGGGGUUGUAAAGGCUCGUUUUUACCAGGGAUGAUAAUGACAGUACCUGGAGAAUAAGCUCCGGCUAACUCCGUGCCAGCAGCCG